rnacentral:lncRNA from 1 species
AUUUGUGCGGUGAUGAAGCAUAUAUUGUGGACUAGAGUUUCUGAUGUUGGGCUCUUCUUCCCAUUUCUUUUGACGACAAACCCUUGGCUGUCUGAGCACCAAUUAUCAAUCUUUAUUUUUUCUCCAAGUUUUCUUAAUUUUGUAAAAUAUUUUCACUCAAAUUUUGAUUGUUUGUAAAUUAGGUUAAGAGCUAAUGAUGAGAAAUACAAUUAUCUUAGCGGAUUUCAGUGAGAUUUCUUUGAAUCAAUGAUCUGAUUGUUACACACACUGAAGCUCUUAAUAAUUUAUUUUUUAUAAAAUGGGAUGUAAAUAAUAAUAAUAGCAGUGAUGAGGUAAAACACAUGAGGAUGUGUUUAGGGAAGUGGACAAGACGAUUAAAACCGUUUUGCCGUGAUCCCCAAUUUAAACGACUUCUCCUUCCACUGAGCUUUUUUUUUUUUUAUUUUCAUUCCAACUUUUAUUCAAAAAUACAGUUUUUGUCGAUUUUGAAGAGAUAUGGUGCGUCCAUUUACCAAUUCUGGAGGAUAAGUUGGUUCCUCACGGUGUAAUGGCUCGGACGCUAUAUUAAUGUUUGUGGCCAUCCUGAUCAAUGGGUUCUCAAUACCAUUGCAUCCUGGAAACACCUCAUACAUUU